UAGUGACUAACGACCUGCAGCUCUGAAUGAGGGCUCUGAGAAGGCUCAGACCACUCACUGCAUCCGCGGCCCUACAAGGAGAUGGUUCCAUGGCACGAGCACAGAAGUAAGGUCACAGCGUGGGGAGGCUAGGGGAGGUGCUAAGGAGGACGGUAGCUUCUGACCCAAGCAAGGAUUCUUAAGGACCCCUUAGCGCAGAACAAUCAGCUCUUCUCUCUCACUAAUUCGUGGGCAACAGAAUCCAAAAGGGAGGCCCCUCUUUCGUAAUUCCAAAGCGAGGAGAGUCUGAUUCACAGCAGGGCAGGGACUGUGGGCAGCCAUGGACUUGCACCAAGAGCUGUCCACCUGUCUUUCCCCCAAACCUCCCCUUCUACCCCCCAAACAUCUGGUCUCCCAGAACUUUGGGUAGUCUCCCUUGCUUCGUCCCGCACCCCCACCCCGCCGCUCGCAACACGCGUGGGAAAGGCGAGGUUGGGAGAGAGGCAGCCCUCGCGGGGAGCCCCUCGGGCCGGGCACUCAUUCGUUCACCGGGUGGAAGGCGGCGAAGCCGGGCCGCGGGAAAGGAGGCAGGCGGCACGCAGGAGACCGGCCAGGUCACGUGGACACCGGGACACUGCUGACCAUUUGCGUCCUCUUGAUGCUGGCUUGUCUCAUGGCUGUCAGACCACAUGGCUGAGAUACAGUUUUGGGACACCUGAGUGGCUCAGUGGUUAAGCGUCUGCCUUUGGCUCAGGGCAUGAUCCUGAGGUCCUGGGAUCGAGUCCCACAUCAGGCUUCCUGUGGGGAGCCUGCUUCUCCCUCUGCCUAUGUUUCUGCCUCUCUCUGUGUCUCUCAUGAAUAAAUAAAUACAAUCUUAAAAAAAAUACA